GUAAUACAUUUACAGUUCUAUGAAUUUGGUAGUUGGAGGUUUUAUCCAGUUUUUAAUCAAUAUCUGGUCGAUAUACUGAAAAGGAUGCAGACAAUCCUCAUGUGUGCCCUUUCAACACUGUCAUUAACUCAUACUACAUAUCUGUUUUAUAUAGAAUUAGGUCAAUAAAAUGUAUUUGUUUUUGGGGUUUUUUUCUCAAAUUUUUUUUUUUGCCAUUGUCUGUGGUCAUAAAGUGUUCUUUUGUUGCUGAUGCUUUUUGUGAUCUAUUCUUAACUCUCCUUUCAUAACCUAAAACAUAAACCAAGAUUUGCAAUCAGCAGCACUAGAGGCACUUCUGAGGCUUUUUUUGAGACAAAUGUUGAAUUUUUAAAUCUCAAACCAUCAUUUUCACUAAACUUUCUCCUCAUUUGUCACUAGAUAGUUUAGGCUUUCUGCUUCUUCUCCUAGCCUCCCUGGCUAACCUGAUCCUAAGCUUGGACGGUGAACUGGAUCCACUCAUGCUGCCUGAUCUGCUGCAAACUAGGCCUCCUGGAUGGUUUGCGCUGUAGGAACCAUUCAAUCAGAGUGAGGAGAUGGAUGGCAGAGAGAUGCCUAACCACUAAAUUUAAGGACUACCAGUGAAAGGGUUGAAUGUAACUACAAGAUGCCAUUGAUGAAGUCCAGACUUCCUUGAACAAUGCCUAGUUCAUCAGCAAAGGGAAAGCAUCCAUAAACCAUCCUGAAGAGCAGGACACCAAGCAACCAAACGGUUGCAGGAUUGAAAAUGUAUGCUCAGAGAAGGCUCACGCCAUGCUGUACUGACUGGUGCCCCUCAAGUGUUUCCUUUCAUAACAAACACUAAAAAGCUGAUCUUCAUAUUUGGCAUUGUGAACCAAUUUGCACAUCAGCUACAAGUGGGACAACUACUAAAAUACUACAAUAUUCUAUAGACCAGCCUGCUUACCUCUUAUGUUUAGAAAAGAAAACACCAUGACAAAUUGAAAAGGUUAGGACAUUUCUGUUUGGGAUUACUUUGUUUUUGGUGACGGUGAGAGGACGCAGCGUGGUCUGUCCACCACUAUUUUUAUUACUACUUUUAUUAAGUGUCUAUUUUAGUCGUUUAGUAUUUUUUUUAAGCGUUUAUCUUUAGUCAGUUUUAUCUUUGUUCAAAGUGCUUGUACUUUUCUCCGGAGCGGCUUUUUGAUCCGAGUUGGACAACUUUGUUUACCAUGAUGAUCAACUAUACUGCUGUCCAGCUGUUAAAACUCAAUACUCACUCCACUCCAUCAUGUAUAUCGACGAUCAAACAACUUGGACUUCUUCGCCGACCUCGUUAUAUUCACAGAAGCUGUGGGAGGAAGUUUAAACUUCUUCAGUCAAGUUCCGUCUCUGUGGUCAACUCUGUGUGCCGUCGCCCGUCCUACACGUCAUCAGAACACUACUGCUCUGCGAACUAGUAGCGUUGGAGUUUCCAUGGCUACGGCUGUUAUUGAGCAAACUGGAAAACGCGGAGUGGAUUUCAGCGUCCUCCGACCACUACAGAGGCCAUUUCUCCAUCUACCAUUAAAGUGGAACUGUUCAACGUACAAUCACUUACAAAUAAAUCGUGUCUGAUUCAGGAUCGCAUCUCUGAUAGAGGCUUAGACUUGAUGUGUCUUACAGAAACAUGGCAUCGACCAGAGGUGUUCUCUGUUUUAAACGAGGCUUGUCCUUCUGGCUAUUCAUAUCUACAGAAAGCCCGUAGCACAGGUCGCGGUGGUGGCCUGACUGUCAUCUACCGCAGUGAUUUGAAGCUGUCGCCGCUGCCCCUGCCUCAUCUGUCCUCCUGUGAAGUGUAAUUCUUCGUCACCUGUGACGUUUUCUCUCAUCUAUCGACCGCCUAAACUGAAUUCAUCUUUCAUACCUGAGAUGUCAAACCUUCUUUCUAUUUUCUGUCCAACAUCAGCAAAUAUCAUAUUAGGCGAUACGAACAUCCAUGUAAAUGUCACGGUUGGCUCCUCCCACUACUCCACGUGCUCCUUUGUUUUGGUCUUCCA